rnacentral:rRNA from 1 species
CUACGGGUGGCUCCAGUGAGGAAUAUUGCACAAUGGGGGGAACCCUGAUGCAGCAACGCCGCGUGGAGGAUGACGCAUUUCGGUGUGUAAACUCCUUUUAUAUGUCAAGAAAAUGACGGUAGCAUAUGAAUAAGCACCGGCUAACUCCGUGCCAGCAGCCGCGGUAAUACGGAGGGUGCAAGCGUUACUCGGAAUCACUGGGCGUAAAGGACGCGUAGGCGGGCUUGUAAGUCAGGUGUGAAAUCCUACAGCUUAACUGUAGAACUGCACUUGAAACUACGAGCCUAGAGUAUGGGAGGGGCAGAUGGAAUUAGUGGUGUAGGGGUAAAAUCCGUAGAUAUCACUAGGAGUACCUAAAGCGAAGGCGAUCUGCUGGAACAUAACUGACGCUAAGGCGUGAAAGCGUGGGGAGCAAACAGGAUUAGAUACCCUCGUAGUC